UAUAUCGGAACGUGCCCAGUCGUGGGGGAUAACGUAGAGAAAUUUACGCUAAUACCGCAUACGAUCUAAGGAUGAAAGCGGGGGACUUCGCAAGAGGCCUCGCGCGAUUGGAGCGGCUGAUAUCAGAUUAGGUUGUUGGUGAGGUAAAAGCUCACCAAGCCGACGAUCUGUAGCUGGUUUGAGAGAACGACCAGCCACACUGGGACUGAGACACGGCCCAG
rnacentral:rRNA from 1 species